GGCUCAGGACGAACGCUGGCGGCGUGCUUAACACAUGCAAGUCGAACGGGAAUUACUUUAUUGAAACUUCGGUCGAUUUAAUUUAAUUCUAGUGGCGGACGGGUGAGUAACGCGUGGGUAACCUGCCUUAUACAGGGGGAUAACAGUCAGAAAUGGCUGCUAAUACCGCAUAAGCGCACAGAGCUGCAUGGCUCGGUGUGAAAAACUCCGGUGGUAUAAGAUGGACCCGCGUUGGAUUAGCUUGUUGGUGGGGUAACGGCCCACCAAGGCGACGAUCCAUAGCCGGCCUGAGAGGGUGAACGGCCACAUUGGGACUGAGACACGGCCCAGACUCCUACGGGAGGCAGCAGUAG
rnacentral:rRNA from 1 species